GAAAAACAAGAAAUAGAGAGAGAAUUGGAAGGAUUUGAGAAGAAAUUGUUGGAUUAUGAGGAUAGUGAUGAAUUAUCUGUUGAUCUGAAUCAAGCCGCGAAGGAAAAAGAAGAGUUUUUUUAGCAAUCAAGAAUGCAUCAUGGAGGAAUCUUUAGCAGAUUUUUAGAAAGAGAGGUUGUCCAUGAGUACAGGCUUAAAGUUUUAGAAGAAAAACUUGUGUCAUUGUGAAGAGGGACGAUGUUUUGAAGGUUGUACACCGGUGGAAGACUUGCACAAAGAAUGGCAUUCCUGUCGAUCAAGACACUUGUUAUAGUGAUGAAUCAAAU
rnacentral:lncRNA from 1 species